UACGUAGGGUGCAAGCGUUAAUCGGAAUACUGGGCGUAAAGCGUGCGCAGGCGGUUUUGUAAGUCUGUCGUGAAAUCCCCCGGGCUCAACCUGGGAAUUGCGAUGGAGACUGCAAGGCUAGAAUCUGGCAGAGGGGGGUAGAAUUCCACGUGUAGCAGUGAAAUGCGUAGAGAUGUGGAGGAACACCGAUGGCGAGGGCAGCCCCCUGGGUCAAGAUUGACGCUCAUGUACGAAAGCGUGGGGAGCAAACAGG
rnacentral:rRNA from 1 species